GGAUUUUUAGCUUAACGGAAGAGUGUGCAUAUGAUAAAUGCAAGAUCUUGGUUCGACUCCAAGAUAAUCUA
rnacentral:tRNA from 1 species